CUUAAUAUUUUUAAUGCAGAAUAAUUAGAAUAAUCAUAUUAUAUAAAAAAAAUUAUAUAAUUCCAUUUAAAAAAGUGGAGAUGAUCUUAAUCUGACCUUGCCAUUGCCUCCCAAAGUGAUUAUUUCAACAUAUUAGUCCCUUGAAAUUAAACAACUUUUGUUUGAAACAUUUUUUUCUCAAAUGUUUUCUUUUCAAGAUAUUCAAGUGUGUUAAUUUAAAUAAUUCAUCCUGUAUAUGAAAAAUAUACACAUCUAAGAAAAAUAUUUUGAUAUAUAAACUUCCUGUUACUACUGCCAAGAUUUCUUCUCAUGAUACUUCUAAGAUGGACUGAAAUUCUCUAAAAUCUCACUUAAAAUAUUCUUUUUUAGUAUCAGUAACGUUUUUUUAAUUCUUGACUUCCAGGACAAGUUGAUAAUGUUACUUCUCAUAUAUUGUUCAAAAAAUAGAGAUUGAUAUUAUGAUAUAGAAAUUUAUAUUUAUUUCUAAAUGAAAAUUGUAAUUUAUAUAUACAUACGCUAUAUAUACAUCUGCGUGAGUCUUAUGCAAGAAUGUGUGUAAAAAUUUAUACAUAAAAAAAUAUGUACAUUCCAGAAAGUUAAAAUACGUAUUACAUAUUUUUAAGACAUUUUUAUUUUUAUAGCAGUGCAUCAAAUUCUUCAUUACUAUUGUAAAACAUUUUACAUAUUAAUAAUUAGAAUAUAGUAAUAUAAAAUUAGAAGUAAUAUUAUAGUAUAUUAUAGUAAUAUAAAAAAACAUAUUUUCUCUUAUUUUGCAUAAUGGACAAUCUAUUUAUGUAAGCUUUUCGAUAUAAUCAGGAGAAGUAUAUAUCUUUGUUAUCCUAUUGUAAAAUUGCUUGCAUAAAAUUUUAUACUUGUUAAUGUUUGUUCCAGAUUUAUACUUUGUAUUCUCAAAAAUUAAUCUUUUUAUCUUUAUUGAUGAAAUGAAAAGUUAUUGGAGCUAAGAAAAACGAAAAAAUGAUUAGCGCAAUAUUGUGCAUGUUUAUUUGUAAUAUAUGGAAUAGAGUGUUUUCGAAUAUUACGAUCUUAAUGUAUAAGUAAUUUUGAGAUUUAUAAUGCAGCUACUAUAUAAAUGUACUUAACGACAUUUACGAAUUACGUUAAUGACUAUUAUUAUGAUUAAAUUUAGAGUUUAAAAGUAAUAGACGUGCAGUUGAUUUAUAACGUGAAAAUGCAAUAUAGAUAAAUAUUUUAUUACAUGCAAGAUGUACUUAAUGUUUAGUUAUACUUAAACAAAAUUCUGUUGUACAUGAGAUUAUUAUUUCGAUUAAAUUGUUAAGAGCAA